GAUGAACGCUGGCGGCGUGCCUAAUACAUGCAAGUCGAGCGAACGGACGAGAAGCUUGCUUUUCUGAUGUUAGCGGCGGACGGGUGAGUAACACGUGGAUAACCUACCUAUAAGACUGGGAUAACUUCGGGAAACCGGAGCUAAUACCGGAUAAUAUUUUGAACCGCAUGGUUCAAAAGUGAAAGACGGUCUUGCUGUCACUUAUAGAUGGAUCCGCGCUGCAUUAGCUAGUUGGUAAGGUAACGGCUUACCAAGGCAACGAUGCAUAGCCGACCUGAGAGGGUGAUCGGCCACACUGGAACUGAGACACGGUCCAGACUCCUACGGGAGGCAGCAGUAGGGAAUCUUCCGCAAUGGGCGAAAGCCUGACGGAGCAACGCCGCGUGAGUGAUGAAGGUCUUCGGAUCGUAAAACUCUGCUAUUAGGGAAGAACAUAUGUGUAAGUAACUGUGCACAUCUUGGCGGUACCUAAUCAGAAAGCCACGGCUAACUACGUG
rnacentral:rRNA from 1 species